GAGCUUUAAUUAACCGACUCAUAAACCAUAAUAACAUCCCACAGGAAAUAAAUCCAUUUUAACUGAGCCGGCAAUUUAGGUUGGGGUGACCUCGGAAUAAAAAUUAACUCCCGAGAAAAUUUAAUCAAGACAGACAAGUCAAAAUUAUCAUAUUAUAUACUGAUCCGUCAAAGGCGAUCAACGAAAUAAGUUACCCUAGGGGUAACAGCGCAAUCCUAUUUAAGAGUCCAUAUCGACAAUUAGGGUUUAC
rnacentral:rRNA from 1 species